GACGAACGCUGGCGGCGUGCUUAACACAUGCAAGUCGAACGGAAAGGCCCUGCUUUUGUGGGGUGCUCGAGUGGCGAACGGGUGAGUAACACGUGAGUAACCUGCCCCUGACUUUGGGAUAACUUCAGGAAACUGGGGCUAAUACCGGAUAGGAGCUCCUGCUGCAUGGUGGGGGUUGGUAAGUUUCGGCGGUUGGGGAUGGACUCGCGGCCUAUCAGCUUGUUGGUGGGGUAGUGGAUUACCAAGGCUUUGACGGGUAGCCGGGCUGAGAGGCUGACCGGCCACAUUGGGACUGGGAUAAGACCCAGACUAGUACGGGAGGCAGCGGAGGAGAAUAGUGCAUUAUGGGCGGGAGCCUGGUGCGACAACGCCGCGUGCGGGAUGACAGGAUUCGGGUUGUAAACCACUUUCGCCUGUGACGAAGCGUGAGUGACGGUAAUGGGUAAAGAAGCACCGGCUAACUACGUG
rnacentral:rRNA from 1 species